GAUAUUAUUGUACUUUAAACACAAAUAAAAAAUUAAUGGGGGGUUCGUUAGAGACCAAGUUUUUGCAAGAACCAGUGCAGCUUUAACUUGUUUGGUAUUAUUUGCUAGGCUCCGGAAACCUGACCCGAAUCAUGAAGCAUCAAAGAAAGCCCUUGAACAUAAGAAGGAAAUCGAUAAGCGUUUGGGUCAUUCCCUUAUCCAAACAAACCCUUAUGAGGGAUGAUUUUGUGAAUGUUGGUUAUAUGGUCAGAUAAUGGAACGAAGAAUUUUAUGAAUUUGGAUUAUAAGGUUAGUUAAUGGCCUAUAGGCUUUGUUUUUCUUAUGUGCUAUUGGUUUUAUUACAUGCUUGAAAUGUCAUUUAUCUACAAAAUUUUGGGUUUUGUGUGUUAUAGUGGGGUUGGGGUUGAUAUUGCAAUGAGGGAUGUGGGUGGCUUAUUGUACGGAAUAUGGAUUGGGGGGAUUUGGGUGUUUUAGUGUAGACAGGUAAUUUAAAAGUUUUUGGAACGUGGGGGAGUGACUUCUUGUGCUGAAUAGGGAGUGUUUAAGUUUCUAGUUCUGUUGGGAUGAAUGAAGUUGUUUUGUGUUGGUGGAAACUAAGUUCAUUUCUGAUUGAGUUGUAUAUUAAGCUUUUGUACUGGAGCGCUAGAGUUUAUGCCUCUGGGUUGAUGUUAUAGCAUGCUUGAAUUGUCAUUUAUUUGCAAAAAGUUUGAAUUUUGUGUGAUAAUGGGAUGAGGACUAUGAGGUUAAUACUGCAAUGAGGGAUGUGUGUGGUUUGGUGGGUUAUUAUAGGGAACAGUGAUUGGGGAAUCCGUGUGUUUUGGUGAAGAUAGGUGCUUCAAUCAGUUUUUGGGUUGUUGAGGAGUGAUUGCUCAUGCCGAAUGGGAUAUGAUUAAAUUUCAAGUUUUGUUGGAUGGAUGGAAUUGUUUUGGGAUGGUGGAAACUGGAGGCCAAGUUCAUUUUUUAUAUAUUGGAACUUUUGUACUGUUGUGUUGACCUCUGGGUUGGUGUUAUAGUAUUGUUGUCAUUGUUUUUACAACCAUAGACAAUUAUAAUAUUUUCUGGUGUCUUCAAACAUGCCAUUUGUUU